rnacentral:rRNA from 1 species
GACGAACGCUGGCGGCGUGCUUAACACAUGCAAGUCGAACGAGUGGCGAACGGGUGAGUAAUACGUGAGUACCCUGCCCUCUUUUUGGGAUAAGCCUUGGAAACGGGGUCUAAUACCGGAUAAAGGGGGAUGGGCGAGCGGCCUAUCAGCUUGUUGGUGGGGUGAUGGCCUACCAAGGCGGUGACGGGUAGCCGGCCUGAGAGGGUGGCCGGGCACAUUGGGACGGAGAGACGGCCUAGAGUACUACGGGAGGCAGCAGGGGGGGAUAUUGCACAAUGGGCGAAAGCGUGAUGCAGCGACGCCGCGUGGGGGAUGAAGGCUUUCGGGUUGUAAAACUCGGGCGGUAUCGAAGGGGUAGGUGGAGAAGAAGCGCCGGCUAACUACGUGCCAGCAGCCGCGGUAAUAC